UACGUAGGGUGCGAGCGUUAAUCGGAUUUACUGGGCGUAAAGCGUGCGCAGGCGGCCCGUUAAGACAGGUGUGAAAUCCCUGGGCUCAACCUAGGAAUUGCGCUUGUGACUGGCGGGCUCGAGUACGGUAGAGGGAGGUGGAAUUCCUGGUGUAGCAGUGAAAUGCGUAGAGAUCAGGAGGAACACCGAUGGCGAAGGCAGCCCCCUGGGCCUGUACUGACGCUCAUGCACGAAAGCGUGGGGAGCAAACAGG
rnacentral:rRNA from 1 species